ensembl:lncRNA
UUAAAUCUUGCUUGUGAAAAGUAAUCCCCCGAUUCCCAUUAUGGAUUGUCCGCCGAUUUGAGCAGGAAUACGCUGAACAACAGCCCGGCAUCCUGUUUCUGCUGCUGUUGCUUCUCCCGGUUGACCACUCCAAGAUGGCGGCCAUAUUUCUCACGUCCCAGCAGCCAAUGCUCCGUCUAUCUAUAAGAUGUUUAUGUUGACAACCAUAAGAAACCACCUGGCAGUUAGUUGGACGGGAGUCCCCUGAGGGAAUCUGGCGGAACGUACUGGAUUGUAUUUGCGUAACCUCGAGCCGUUGCCAACGGAAACAAUUUUUCAGUCGGUUUCCAUUGGGAAUUGUUGCCCCUAUUUUAAGCAACUAAAGUUUGAUAUUUAAUACAUACUGACACGUACGUCGUACAAUAUGUUGAUAAUUUCCGAUGGUUGCGCCGUACUCUUAACCACGAUGACGUUGCGGGACUCUCACUGCGUACAAAACAGCGUUCUACUUGCGGGCCCAAUUUUGACAUCAAGGAAGGCUUAAAAUCAUUUCAAGAUGGAAGAUAAUUUGACAUUUCUUCAACGGAACCCAGCACCUGAAUAUGGCUGAAGCCAGACCUCCACCUCCUCACCCAGAGCCAGACCUCCACCUCCUCACCCAGAGCCAGACCUCCACCUCCUCACCCAGAGCCAGACCUCCACCUCCUGUCAGAAGUCCUCCAGAACAGCUGAAAGGCGAGGCUGAGAGGCUGGGGACCGGAGGCUUGUGGUGCCAGGGUGGACCGGAGACUGAGGCUGGAGACCAGGGGCCUGCAGCACCGGACCAGAGGACCAGGAAUCCAUGGCUGAAGGCGCUGAUGGAGGAGCCGUGCUGAUGGAGGAGCCGUGCUGAUGGAGGAGCCGUGCUGAUGGAGGAGCCGCGCUGAUGGAGGAGCCGUGCUGAUGG